AUGGGCGAGCUGAUCGCGUGGAGCCGGGAGCGCAUGCCGCACUUCAUGGUGCCCAAGACCGUCGUCUUCCGCGCCGAGCUGCCCAAGACCUCCACCGGGAAGAUGAAGAAGUAUGUGCUCCGCGACCUCGCCAACGGGAUGGGACCCACUCGCUGCAACUCCGAGAUGUAG
rnacentral:rRNA from 1 species